UACAGAGGUGGCAAGCGUUGUUCGGAAUUACUGGGCGUAAAGGGCGCGUAGGCGGCCUUCUAAGUCGGACGUGAAAGCCCCAGGCUUAACCUGGGAACUGCGUCCGAUACUGGGAGGCUUGGAUUCGGGAGAGGGAUGUGGAAUUCCAGGUGUAGCGGUGAAAUGCGUAGAUAUCGGGAGGAACACCAGUGGCGAAGGCGACUACCUGGCCUGUUCUUGACGCUGAGGCGCGAAAGCUAGGGGAGCAAACGGG
rnacentral:rRNA from 1 species